GUACACAAAAAUGCACAUGCUGUGAGCUCGAUGAGUAGGGCGGGACACGUGGUAUCCUGUCUGAAUAUGGGGGGACCAUCCUCCAAGGCUAAAUACUCCUGACUGACCGAUAGUGAACCAGUACCGUGAGGGAAAGGCGAAAAGAACCCCGGCGAGGGGAGUGAAAAAGAACCUGAAACCGUGUACGUACAAGCAGUGGGAGCACGCUUAGGCGUGUGACUGCGUACCUUUUGUAUAAUGGGUCAGCGACUUAUAUUCUGUAGCAAGGUUAACCGAAUAGGGGAGCCGAAGGGAAACCGAGUCUUAACUGGGCGUUAAGUUGCAGGGUAUAGACCCGAAACCCGGUGAUCUAGCCAUGGGCAGGUUGAAGGUUGGGUAACACUAACUGGAGGACCGAACCGACUAAUGUUGAAAAAUUAGCGGAUGACUUGUGGCUGGGGGUGAAAGGCCAAUCAAACCGGGAGAUAGCUGGUUCUCCCCGAAAGCUAUUUAGGUAGCGCCUCGUGAAUUCAUCUCCGGGGGUAGAGCACUGUUUCGGCAAGGGGGUCAUCCCGACUUACCAACCCGAUGCAAACUGCGAAUACCGGAGAAUGUUAUCACGGGAGACACACGGCGGGUGCUAACGUCCGUCGUGAAGAGGGAAACAACCCAGACCGCCAGCUAAGGUCCCAAAGUCAUGGUUAAGUGGGAAACGAUGUGGGAAGGCCCAGACAGCCAGGAUGUUGGCUUAGAAGCAGCCAUCAUUUAAAGAAAGCGUAAUAGCUCACUGGUCGAGUCGGCCUGCGCGGAAGAUGUAACGGGGCUAAACCAUGCACCGAAGCUGCGGCAGCGACGCUUAUGCGUUGUUGGGUAGGGGAGCGUUCUGUAAGCCUGCGAAGGUGUGCUGUGAGGCAUGCUGGAGGUAUCAGAAGUGCGAAUGCUGACAUAAGUAACGAUAAAGCGGGUGAAAAGCCCGCUCGCCGGAAGACCAAGGGUUCCUGUCCAACGUUAAUCGGGGCAGGGUGAGUCGACCCCUAAGGCGAGGCCGAAAGGCGUAGUCGAUGGGAAACAGGUUAAUAUUCCUGUACUUGGUGUUACUGCGAAGGGGGGACGGAGAAGGCUAUGUUGGCCGGGCGACGGUUGUCCCGGUUUAAGCGUGUAGGCUGGUUUUCCAGGCAAAUCCGGAAAAUCAAGGCUGAGGCGUGAUGACGAGGCACUACGGUGCUGAAGCAACAAAUGCCCUGCUUCCAGGAAAAGCCUCUAAGCAUCAGGUAACAUCAAAUCGUACCCCAAACCGACACAGGUGGUCAGGUAGAGAAUACCAAGGCGCUUGAGAGAACUCGGGUGAAGGAACUAGGCAAAAUGGUGCCGUAACUUCGGGAGAAGGCACGCUGAUAUGUAAGUGAGGUCCC
rnacentral:rRNA from 1 species